rnacentral:lncRNA from 10 species
GCAACCAUGCUCAGAACAGCAGUGACUAGCAGCUGCUGGAAUUACAGAAGGGAGACAAAAGCUUUCAACCCUCUACUGCACGUGAUAUUACUUUAUAGUAAUUUAUCUUAGUCCAGGUGCAGUGCCUCACACCUGUAAUCCCAGCACUUUGGAAGGCUGAGCUGGGAGGAUUGCUUGAGGCUGGCAGUUCAAGACUUCUUCCAUUUUAAGGGGCCUUGUGAUUACAGCUGGUCCAUCUGGAUAUUCUAAGAUAUUCUCCCUAUUUUAAGGAAGAUGAAUAAGAAGAGGGAGCCUCUUCCAGGAAGAUAAAUGCCGAAAAAGCUACCUUUUCUCCAUCUGGGGACGGAUGAUACCAAAAUGAUGCCCCCUUCCAGGCUGAUAAGGAGAGAAAUCUGAAAUCUGAGGUGCAGUUGAUUUGAAUCCAGGAAAUCUAAGGAAAAAGUUCAAGCUCUUAAUCAUUUCAUACCCUUCUUGUUGCUAACUUAAACUUUUUUUUUAAAAAAGUUAAUCUUGUCUAUGAAGCAUGAAUCUAUAAUACUAGGGAAAAAACUGGCUAACUUGAAGAAAAAAUAAAUUGAAAUGAAAAGCAAUUAAUUCCUCUUAAUAUGAAUAAAGGAUGAUCUAAAUGCUUUUUGAGAAAUGAUUUCAAGUAAUGAAAUUUACAGGAAAAAAAAUCCUCUUUUCUGAAUAAGCAAUCAUGGUAUUAAUCCUAAGUUCUUUAAUCUUUAUAUUUACAUUUGUUCUUAAAGCUUGGUGUUUUCUACCAAAACCAUCUGUGUAUCUCUGUCUAUCUUCACGUGUUCUUUCUGUAUACAUUCAUGCAUGCGCACACACACAGAGAUUUCAUUAUUUAUUCAUAAAAUAGUUGAAAAUCACUGCUUUGGCCCUUUUAACUGUAUAUAAAUCUCUCAGUUCUCUAGUGCUUGGAAAGGAAGUAUUUAUUUUAUUUUAUUUUUAUUUUAUUUAUUUUGAGAUAGAGUCUCACUCUGUCGCCCAGGCUGGAGUGCAGUGGUGCAAUCCUGGCUCACUGCAGCCUUAAUCUCCAAGGCUCAAGCUGUCCUCCCACCUCAGCUUCCCUCGUAGCUGGGACCACAGGCAUGCCACCACACCCAGCUAAUUUUUGUGUUUUUUUGGAGAGAUGGGGUUUCCUCAUGUUGCCCACGGUGGUCUGGAACUCCUGGGUUCAAGUGACUGGCCCUACCUUGGCCUCCCAAAGUUCUAUGAUUAGAGGCGUGAGUCACCCUCCCUCGCCAGGAAGUAUGACAAACAGAAUGAGCCUGCAACCAGAGUCUUUGAUUCAAACCCUUGCCCACCAUUCACUGACUGUUUGAGCCUCAGUAUCUUUAUGUGGAACAUGAGGUCUAUAACAGAACUUAACAAACAGGAGAUAAUUAUUAAUGAGAUUAAAUGCAAUGAGGAAUGUCAGUGGUACCCUCUCUGUAGAGGAACUUAAGGAGUUGAGCCUCCAAGCUUCUUUCUUGAUAUGCUGAUGAAAGACAUAGCCUAGUUUAUGGUGGGUGCUGCUUAAAUUCCAGCCCUCUCUCUUUCAGUCAACAGGCUUGGACUCAAAAUAAGCCCCAUUCAGGCUGAUUUGCCUGCCUAUAUCAGUCACAAACUGCACCUCUUGCAAAAACAGCUUUCCCUCCAAUGUGUACUGGCCUUGAAGAAGACUGAGAUAUAGGGAAACAAAGAUCUUUAAAAUCAAGUUACUGAAAGGUCACUGAAAUAAUAUACAGUGAAAGAUGGAUGAUGCCAUCAUUGUAUAAAUAAAGUCAGUACAACCAUUAAAGAACUUACAAGUAUGGGUUUUUUCUUCUCUAUGGUUAUGAUCAUGGAUAGAAUAAUUUUGAUAUGACCAUGAUUAUAUUAUAUCUGGAUGGUUUAGAUGUCUUUCAGAAAAUUAAUAUUUAUUCUUUGGCAUUAUAUAAUUUCUUAAAUAAACAUGAAGAGAGAAAUGUUUUGAAUAACAAUUCUCUAGUCCUAAAUUUUCUAUACUUAGCAUGUAUUGUUUCUUUUUUAAUAACUUACAACAACUUUAUUUUAAAAUUAGUUUAGGCAAUGUUUUUUGAAAUGGCUUCUUUGAAGUCGCUUCUUGGAAUGAUUAUAGCCAUUGUGUAAAGCCAGCAAUAAAAGAAGGAUUUGAAAGUAGAGAGUAGAACAGUAGUUACCAAGGGCUGGAGGCAGGGGUAGAGGAGAUAUUGAUCAAAGGACACAAAAUUUCAUUUAGGAGGAAUAAGUUAAAGAGACGCACUGUCACAUGGUGACUACAGUUAAUAACAAUGUGUUGUGUUAUUGAAAAUCCAUGAGGGUAGAUUUUAAGUGUUCUGACCACAAAAAAAAGCAUGUGAGGUAACACAUACAUUAAUUAGCUCUAUGUAGCCAUUCUAUAAUGUAUACAUGUUUCAAAACAACAUGUACACAAUAAAUAUAUAUGAUUUUUUAUUUGCUAGUUAAGAAAAGCGUUUGACACUUCAAAAAAUAAAAUACUUUUGGCAUAUGAAGAGUCAUUUACAAUCACGCCCCAGACUUUGUUGUUAAUAUUAGCAGGGAUAGUCAUUGCUUAUAAGGUCUUCACAUGCUUAUAAAAGAAGUUUCACUAAAUCUAGUUAGCAUUGAGAAGUGUUGACAAGAAGAGUUGAAAAUAAACCUCAAGACAACUUUCUGAUUUAAAAUUCUAUUUCUUGGUGUGUGAAUGUUAUUUUUGAGGAAACAUACACUUUAUUGCAACAUAAUAAAUAAAUGAGAAAAUAAGACAAUGUUAUUUUACCCAAUAUAGCAGGGUGGUCUUUAAAUAAGUGCAUAAAUAGCCCAUGAGAUAGUUUGAAGCUUUCAGCUUUGUCACCCUGUUGGUCUAGUCAAAUGACUCACAUAUUAGCAAUUUGUUUGCAAAACAUCUUCUUCUUAUAGUUUCCAUUGGAUUACAUAAGAUUGUUUUAUCCUGAUAGAUAAUCUGGACUUUCUUCACCAAAAGAAGGUUAAUAUUCCUACAAAUUUUAAACCAAAACAUUAAAUUUUAUACUGAAAAUACAUCUUCCUUGAGGUCAAGACUGUAGGGGAAGGCAGAUUUUUGGUGUCCUUAUCCAAAUGAUAGCCUUGCAAACCAGGCUGUUUUCAUGAGAGGAUUUUCUUACUUUAUUUAAAUCUUCUCUGAGCGUAACAGGAAAUAAAUCUGGAGACUCCAGCUUCUGGAGCUUUUCCACAAAGAAGAUAAUCUUUCUGAUUUAAAGACACAAUAAACCCUUCUUUCUCCAUGUUCUUCAAAAUCCAUAGAGCUCAAAUAACCACUUCUUUUCAUUCGCUAUAGAACAGCAUUAUUUCCAAAAUUGCAUUUAAAUCAUCUACAUACAGAAGGUUAAAUUUGUUUAAAAAUGAAUAAUUACAUUCAUUUCUUUACAUUUGUACUCUGAAUAAUGUGGAAUUUAAACUAGGUGUGGUUACACUUUAGCUAUGAGACAUUGGGCCGGUCACUUAUUCUCUUCAGAGGAUUAAAAGGAUAAAAUAUUUUAAAAAAUAUCUAUCUAUCUAUCUAUCUAUCUAUCUAUCUAUCUAUCUAUAGAUAGAUACACACACACACACACACACACACACAUAGAGUUCUUAUACAAACCCUCAUUAAAUGUAAUCCAAGUUGUAGACCCACAGUACUGAUUUAGGUAGGCAAAAUAUCAAAUUAACAACAACAAAAAAAUACCAGACAUAAAAAAUGUGUCUCAUAUUCUGGACACAUCAUUAUUCUCUGAAAUAUCCACAGACCACUCUAAUCUGAGCACACCCUAGGUGGACCAGGAACACAAGUAAUGUGAAUGACUGCAAUAAUAAAAUGAGUAUGUUAAACUAUCAAUUACUUGGCUUUGAUUCUGUGCUUGAAUUAUAUUCAAUGAGCCUCUGCUGUGUGCCAGACAAUGUUCUGGGCAGCAGCGACACACUGGUGAACAGUCCUUGCCUAUAUGGAGCUUACAUUUUAGAAGGCAAAGACAGACCAAUAAAUAAGUCAGCAAACAAUUCGUCAAUAUAACUUCAAAUAAUAACAAAUACUUUGAAGAAAAUCAACUAGGGUCGUGCCUGAGGGCUUGGGAAUUAAAUGUACUUUAGUUUGGAAACCAGAGAAGUCAUGGCUGAGGGAUUUAUAUCUUCACUGACAACUGAAGACCCAGAAGAAACCAGCAAGGCAAAGGCUGGGAAUCAAUGUCUCCAGCUGUGUCCUUGAGGAAGCAGGAAAUGCAAACGGCUCUAAAGGAAGAAGGAGCUUACUUAUUUGCCAAACAGAAAGAAAGUUGAUGAGAGCAAUGAAACCGCAGUAAGUGAAGGUAGAGUGGGAGGAAAAGGCUGGGUCAUUAAAAGCUUUUUUAGUCAUUUUAAGAGUUUUGAAAUUUUUAAACAGGGGAAUGAGAUCAUCUGAUUUUUGACUGAACAAUGACGCUGGUUGCUACAUGCAGAAUGGCAGCAGGGAGAUAAGGAUGUAAACAGAAGACUGAUUGGGAAGUUAUUUUAAUUCAGGGAAAACAUGAUGCACUUGGAUUGAGGUAGUAGCUACAGAAAUGGAGAGGAUGUUAUAGGUCCUAUGACGUAGAAGAGAAUACUCUGGAAGCAGAAUUGAUAGACUUCAUGAUAGGUUAUGUGAAGAAGGAUCAAAAAGGAACCAAGGACAGCUAUACAGUGGUUGGUUUGAACAAUUGAUGGUUCAUGAUGCCAUUGCUGAGAUAAGGAUAUUUAAGGAGGAAGAUGACGAGAAUUAAUUAAGAUCAAGAAAACACUAACACCAAAACUCAAAGGAUGUUGGAAGCUUGAAAGAAGACCUCAAAGACAAUAUUUGGGCAUAUUUUAAGAGCAUCAUCAAUACUCUGUAUGGCACCGAGGAUGACUUAUGGAAAAACAGAGUUAUCAAUGACUUUUUGUUGGAAAUUAUCCAAAAGAGUAAGAUUCUGCAAAGAAGUUUGUGAAUUUAUUUACCAGUUUAUUUUUAUUUCUAUUUUCAUUUUACGAUUGCCUGAGAGUGAUAUUUGAAAAGUGUUAUAUUCAUAUAUGUCUAAAUUUUUCAACAAGUAUCAAAUAAAGAUUCUAAGUUAUAAGAAAGCAUUGUGUCAGUUUAAUUGUAUGAUUUCUUAAAAUUAGCUCCACAUGAAUGAACGGUACAUCUAAAAUUGAUAAUUUGAUAAUUGUCUCAGAUUUGAGGAAAUACUAUCCUCCAUUAUAGACAAAGGCUAGAAGGACCUGGGAAUGGGGAGGGGGACUAUGUAACAGACAAAUAUUCCAAUCUCAGAUGAUUAUUCUUCCACUCUCCUUUUUUCUCUGAGUCUAAGCUCAUCUUUUACUGUCCCUCUGGACUUUAACAGGCACUCUGCUAUUAAUGCUUAAAUGGAGCAUCUACUUAAUUAGAUUACAGCAUUUACAGGACAUAAACCUUUGGGUACAUGUCAAAGACCCUGGACUUUAGGCCACAACCAAUGUAAGUGGAUGAUUUCCCAAUGAUAGCAUAUGCCUAGAAAGGUUUGGCUUUAUUUUCCGUGAGUUCUUAUCUAAUGCAAAAUAAACUUUGAAUUUAUAUUUCUUGAGUUUUCCAGCACACAAUGUUUUGCUUUUAUAACUUCUAUUAUUAAAAGAAGAAUAUUAUACUAUUUGUAAAUGUUUUUGAUGUGCAAAAUUUUAUACCUAUAGGUUGCAAAAUCUGUGCAUUGCACUAGAAAUUUUGCUGAGUUUUCAGCUCUUAGCCACAGCAUUUAAGUAGUACAAUUCAUUUCAUGUUUAACUUUAUUUAAAUAUCAUAGUGAGUAGACCAUUGGUUUUCAGAUUAUUUUAAAUUUCUUUGUAUAAUCUGAGUUGAUUUCCCAUUGUGUCUGCCAAAGUACUCUUCUUUCUUCUUGAGGACAGUGCACAUUUAGAAAUUACCUUUUUGAAACAUCUUGAAAACUGACUCUUCAAAAAUGACUUUCAAUACUUAAGAACAUGACAAAAAUAUAUUUAUAACAUAACUUUUAGUUACAUGUUAUGCCGUAUAUAAAACUAUGUACUUGUGAAUGUUCAAUACCUAUCCCCCUCCCCCCAAAACAGCAACUUGUUUUGUUGCAUUUGCUGAUUUAUAUAGUAUAAAUACUCCCACAUGUCCAGUUUCAAAGUACCAACUUGAUGUCACUGGACAUACAGUUAGGAAGGGUAUCAUUAUAAAGUAUUUUUACAGUAAAGAAGCAAUAAAUGUAAGCAACUACAAAAGCACACAUAAUAGUGAAAUGCAUUAAAAUAAUUGGGAAAUACUAAGUUUUGAGUAUUACUUCGUUUGCUUAUUUUGUAAUUUAUUUAAUUGUAAGUUUAUAUAAUCCAAUUUUUGGCAAUGGCUGUAUUUAACAACUGGUUUCCAAAUUUACAAAUGUACUCUUUUAAGCCUACAUGAACUGGGUGUAGUUCAGCACUCCUGUAUAUAUGAUAUUUGAUAUUGCCUAUUAUAACACAGGUUAAAAAUAGUGAAGCUUAAACUCAUUUGAGACUUCCUCCCUCCCUCUUUUCCUUCCUUCCUUCCUUUCCUUUCCCUCCUUCCUUCCUUCCUUCCCUCCAUCCUUAAGUUCUUACAGAUUUGCUAGACAUGUCAAAAUGAGUAGAAAUCAGUAUGAACAAAUUAAAUUAUAAAGUUACCUAUUUAUGCUAUUGAUAUGGGGACAGACAGAAAUAAGAAGGUUAUACUUUUCCAGGAUUCUAUAAUAUAUAUUUUCUUUAUAUGUCAGGAUAUAUGUACGUAUCCAGUUAUAUAUCUUGAUACAGUUAUUUUUGUUUCUAUGAAACCAUGUUGAAUGCUAUGAAAAGCCUUGAUAAUGGUAAGUUACUAAAAAAGGCUCUCUAGGUAUGAGCAAGAAGGCGAAAGACUGAGAUAAAAAAUACCAGCUGUUAGUUUCUGUAUUCUGAUUGCUUUGCUAGUAUCUUUAUAUUCUUGGACCACUUUAAAGAAAUAAAACCCAACAUUUUAAAUAAUGAAUUUCUGAGG